GUUAGCUCAGUUGGUAGAGCAACUGACUUUUAAUCAGUGGGUCAGAGGUUCGAAUCCUCU
rnacentral:tRNA from 1 species